CCUCAGUUUUCGAAAGCAAAACUCAAACACUUAAUGAAAUUUUUGUCCCUCCAAAUCCAAAACCCAGACUUAGCCUUCAUCUCGAUCCCUCCAAAUCCAAAGCUCACCAUCGAAGAAACACUCUCGCUACAGAAACCCUCUCACCCACCACUCACCGUCGCUUCUCUUCGCCCUCCUCCUCGUCGCUGUGCCGCCCUUACCAUCGUCUUCUCGUCGCUGCGCCGCCCUUACCUUCGCCAACCCUGUCGCGCACAACUCUCACCUUCGCCAUUCUUACCGUCGCUGUUGACCGUCGCCACCCAGUAACCACUCACCGUUCACCAUCGUCGCUCAUCACCUUUGCCAUUGUCACCACUGCACAGACCAUCGCUCUUCUUCGCCGUUCUGCACAAAUCAUCGCUGCGCCGCCCUCACCAUCGUCAUCUCCGUGCUUCUCAUCAUCGUCAUCUCCGUGUUGAUUAUGCCAAACUCACUAAGCUUCCCAAGAACCUUAUGGCAAAGGUUUCUACUAUGAAGAAUACAGAGCAGAUUUUAGAGCAACUUCCUCGGGUGAUAUCAUCUUUGGAUGCAUAUAUGGAUAAUGGAUUGCAAAAGUGAUAACCCGCUAGCAAGUGCAAGUAAACCUCGUUCAAAGUCAGGAGGGAGCUGACUGAAGCUUAAGAGGGAGCUGCGUUUCACUCACCCAACUGUUCUUCGAGUUUCUUUGCUAGUUUAUUCAAUUUCUUUUAACACAACUACCACCACAAGCAAAGAGAGGUUUGGGCUCAAGAGAAAAACAGGGACAAGUCUUGUGUAUUUGAUCAACAAAGAGGUAAGGGUUAGAAUAGUUAGAUAUUGAUUUUAGCUGUAUUUGGUGAUUAAAUGGCAGAAACCUUUCCAUUGAGUAUGCUUAUUCUCAAAUAAGUUAGGCUACAUAAUAUAUUUAUUGACCAGUCAGCUGCUUGAUUCUUGGAUCUGUAUGUGAAUGAUUGUUGCUUUCUUAAUCAGCAGUAUACUUUGUAGUGGUAAAUGGUAAUGUUCUAAUAAAAAAAAAUCAAGUACUAAUGGGGACUAUUAUUCAUUUGUCUAGAGUAGUUUACUGAUUUCAUGUUAAUUAUUUUUGUUGCAUGUGGAUUAUA